UAAAUUGCACAGUGGCAGUAAUGUAGCCAAUGAGGUUUAUCUGAGGCACGAUUAUUGCUAACUGAAAACUUUUUCAAUACCCCAUCAUGAUGACUUACAAUACAGUCAGCAUUGAUAAUUUUUGCCAGUCUCUACAGAGA
rnacentral:snRNA from 1 species